rnacentral:lncRNA from 1 species
CGCAGGGUAAGACAAUUGGAAUCAGGAACCAAAUCAUGGAGAUGCUCGUUCUAGAUGACGAAGCUGGCGAUGGGAGACCUCCAUUAAGCCAGAGAAGCAGAGGCUUGGAGCUGCUCUGUUUGCCCGCUGCCUCCGCAAAGUAGUAAAACAGAGCUCGUCCGUUUCGAUCGUCGACGGUGACAUAACCCCCGUACUGAACGAAAUCUACUCCUGCAGGCUGGCCGGGCAGCUCGACGAUCCGGUCGUUCUCCUUCGACCCGGAAUCGGCGUACAAUCUCGACGUAAGAUCGGAGAAGGCGAACGUGUCAAAGUCGGAAGACGAAGUAACAGUAGCUCCCUUUCGGAGCUUGUCGAGGGCAU